rnacentral:rRNA from 1 species
UACGUAGGGAGCAAGCGUUGUCCGGAAUCAUUGGGCGUAAAGAGCGCGUAGGUGGCUUUAUAAGUCCGUUGUGAAAGUCAAAGGCUCAACCUUUGAAAGCCGAUGGAUACUGUGAAGCUAGAGUACGGAAGAGGCGAGUGGAAUUCCUGGUGUAGCGGUGGAAUGCGCAGAUAUCAGGAGGAACACCGGUGGCGAAGGCGGGUCUCUGGGCCGUAACUGACGCUGAGGAGCGAAAGCGUGGGGAGCGAACAGG